rnacentral:rRNA from 1 species
GACGAACGCUGGCGGCGUGCUUAACACAUGCAAGUCGAACGGAAAGGCCCUGCUUUUGUGGGGUGCUCGAUUGACGAACGGGUGAGAAAUACGUGAGUAUCCUGCCCUUGACUUUGAGAUAACUUCAGGAAACUGGGGCUAAUACUCGGAUAGGAGCUCCUGCUGCAUGGUGGGGGUAGGAAAGUUUCGGCGGUGUGGGGAUGGACUCGCGGCUUAUCAGCUUGUUGGUGGGGUAGUGGCUUACCCAGGCUUUGACGGGUAGCCGCCCUGAGAGGGUGACCGGCCACAUUGGGACUGAGAUACGGCCCAGACUCCUACGGUAGGCAGCAGUGGGGAAUAUUGCACAAUGGGCGGAAGCCUGAUGCAGCAACGCCGCGUGCGGGAUGACGGCCUUCGGGUCGUAAACCGCUUUCGCCUGUGACGAAGCGUGUGUGACGGUAAUGGGUAAAGAAGCACCGGCUAACUACGUGCCAGCAGCCGCGGUGAUACGUAGGGUGCGAGCGUUGUCCGGAUUUAUUGGGCGUAAAGGGCUCGUAGGUGGUCGAUCGCGUCGGAAGUGUAAUCUUGGGGCUUAACCCUGAGCGUGCUUUCGAUACGGGUUGACUUGAGGAUAGGUAGGGGAGAAUGGAAUUCCUGGUGGAGCGCUGGAAUGCGCAGAUAUCAGGAGGAACACCAGUGGCGAAGGCGACUUCUCUGGGCCUUUCCUGACGCUGAGGAGCGAAAGCGUGGGGAGCGAACAGGCUUAGAUACCCUGGUAGUCCACGCUGUAAACGGUGGGUACUAGGUGUGGGGUCCAUUCCACGGGCUCCGCGCCGUAGCUAACGCUAUAAGUACCCCCCCUGGGGAGUGCGGCCGCAAGGCUAAAAUCUCAAAGGAAUUGGCGGGGCCCCGCACCAGCGGCGGAGCAUGCGGAUUAAUUCGAUGCAACGCGUAGGACCUUACCUGGGUCUGCCAUGGAUCGGGAGUGCUCAGAGAUGGGUGUGCCUCUUUUGGGGUCGGUUCACAUGUGGUGCAUGGGUGUCGUCAGCUCGUCGUCGUGAGAUGUUGGGUUAAGUCCCGCAACGAGCGCAACCCUUGGCUUCACUGUUGCCAGCAUGUUAUGGUGGGGACUCAUGAUAGACUGCCGGGGUCAACUCGGAGGAAGGUGGGGAUGACGUCAAGUCCUCAUGCCCCUUAUGUCCAGGGGCUCCCCCAGUCUUCCAUGGGUGGUACCGAGAGUGGCGUGCCUGUGAGGGUGAGCGAAUCUCGGAAAGCCGGUCUCAGUUCGGAUUGGGGUUUGCCACUUGACCUCCUGAAGUCGGAGUCGCUAGUAAUCGCAGAUCAGCAACGCUGCGGUGAAUACGUUCCCGGGUCU